UACGGAGGGUGCAAGCGUUAUCCGGAUUCACUGGGUUUAAAGGGUGCGUAGGCGGACAGGUAAGUCAGUGGUGAAAUCUCUGGGCUUAACCCAGAAACUGCCGUUGAUACUAUUUGUCUUGAAUAUCCUGGAGGUAGGCGGAAUAUGUCAUGUAGCGGUGAAAUGCUUAGAUAUGACAUAGAACACCGAUAGCGAAGGCAGCUUACUACAGGAUGAUUGACGCUGAGGCACGAAAGCGUGGGGAGCAAACAGGAUAGAAACCC
rnacentral:rRNA from 1 species